GUUCGAUUCUAUUCAACUUAGAAGGGUACUGUUUGGUGAGAUAAUUCGUCUGUAUAAAGGGUACAAACUCCAGGGUAAGGCUAUUGACUCUGUUCGGUAGUUUGUUUGUUUUCAAACUACCGAACUAGACCGCAAGCCCUGAUUCUCUGGAAUUGUUUUGGGCAUGUCUUCGGUCGGUCAAAUAAAUGACUUCCAUAGAAUUUCUGAACCCCUGAACUGAUCUGGGUGAUUUUUGGAUAUGUUGGUCACCCAGAUCAGGGCUAUCAGGGGAUGUAACAUUGUGUUUUGGGGGUACUUUU